rnacentral:ribozyme from 14 species
GACACAAAGACAAAGACAAAGAAAAAAAGAAAAGAAAACAAACACGACUGACAAAGGAA